AAACUAUUUGUUUGUGUUUUGAAAACACAAUUAGGGAGGUUCCCGUAGUUUUUUUU
rnacentral:tRNA from 1 species